GACGAACGCUGGCGGCGUGCUUAACACAUGCAAGUCGAGCGGUAAGGCCUUUCGGGGUACACGAGCGGCGAACGGGUGAGUAACACGUGGGUGAUCUGCCCUGCACUCUGGGAUAAGCCUGGGAAACUGGGUCUAAUACUGGAUAUGACCUCAGCAUGCAUGUGCUGGGGUGGAAAGCUUUUGUGGUGCAGGAUGGGCCCGCGGCCUAUCAGCUUGUUGGUGGGGUAAUGGCCUACCAAGGCGACGACGGGUAGCCGACCUGAGCGGGUGACCGGCCACACUGGGACUGAGACACGGCCCAGACUCCUACGGGAGGCAGCAGUGGGGAAUAUUGCACAAUGGGCGGAAGCCUGAUGCAGCGACGCCGCGUGAGGGAUGAAGGCCUUCGGGUUGUAAACCUCUUUCAGCAGGGACGAAGCGUGAGUGACGGUACCUGCAGAAGAAGCACCGGCUAACUACGUGCCAGCAGCCGCCGUAAUAC
rnacentral:rRNA from 1 species